rnacentral:rRNA from 1 species
AUGUACUAUGUGAAGGAGGAGGAAAUUGGAUCUGAAAGAGUAAAGUAUUUAGGUAAUGAAGCUAGUGUUCAUGAAAUGUUGGAGUUUUUUCAUCAUGUCAAGCUAGUGAACAUAAAGGUUGUGAGAAAUGUUGAACCUGGAAUUAGUACACAGGCUAAUGAGAAUUACAUGAACACUCAAGAGAGCUGCUGUGUGAAAAAGGUUGUGGAGCAAUCUGAGCUUCAGAAUCAGAUAGAUGAUAGAAAGGCUCAGCUUGAGAGGAGCAGGAUUCAAAGAGAGGCAGAUUUGAACCACUUUGAAGGAGACACUGAAGUGUCUGAAUUUUGUUCUGAGGAUUCAGUUCAUUCAGAUGGGAGUGUUGAAGCUGUUCAACAAAUGGAAAUAGAGUGUGCCUCUGAAGAGGAUACAGCAUUGCAAACUACUGCUAUUGUGAAACAUGUGAAGAAUCCUGGUCCAACUAGCAGAUGCCACAAUGAGGUAGAGAAAAAACGUUUUGAAGAUUGGUUUCCUGAAGCAGAUGAGUUUUGUUUUGCUGGUGAUGCAUGCAUAAGUGAUGAGGAAGAAGAUGAUGAAGUUGAACUACCAUACCUCAUGAAGAAGCCAAAGACAAAGAGUAGUAAGAAAAAGAUGAAGGAAAGGGUAUAUUUUGACCCCUCAAUUCCCAAUUCACAUUUACUCUUGUGCAAGAGCUUGUGUUUUCAUACUGUUUACCAGUUCAGAGAAGCAUUAAGAGAUUUUCAUAUAAGGACUUUGAGGUCUUUUCACUACCACAGGAACACUCCAACAAGAAUUAUUGUUUGGUGUUCACAGAGAGAGCAUGGAUGUGAAUUUUACAUGUGUGCCUCCAGGAUAGCUCAUGAAAGAACAUUUUGCAUUAAUAAGUGUAACAUGGAGCACACUUGUCCAGCAUCAGCAGAGAACACAAAGGUUACUACUAAGUGGCUUUCCAAAGCAGUUGAGCCUUCUCUUAGAGCAGAUCCUAGAGCACCUGUGGAUUCACUUAUUAAAAACAGCAAAGUCAAGUUUUCAGUUGAUGUAUCAAAGAGUCUGGCCUAUAGGGCAAGGAGGAAGGCUAUUAAGGUUGUACAAGGUGACCAGAAGGAGCAGUACUAUAGACUGAGGAACUACCUACAAGCAGUUCUUGACACAAACCCUGGUAGCAGGUGUAUAGUAACAACAUUUGAGUACCCAGAAAACCGUGCCCCAACUCCUAGAUUUAAGUACAUGUUCUACUGCUUGCAUGCAUCAAAGCAAGGAUUUCUUAAUGGUUGCAGGCCCUUUAUAGGGUUUGAUGGUUGCUUCAUCAAGCUAACCACUGGACAGCAAAUUCUUGCAGCCACAGGAAGAGAUGACAACAACAACAUCUACCCCAUAGCCUUUGGUGUUUUUGAUAAGGAAGAUUCAGAGAGUUGGACAUGGUUUCUAACCCAGCUAAGAUGUUGCAUUGGAAGUGGAAGCAAAUUUGGGACCUACACCAUUAUUUCUGACAGGCAAAAGGGUCUUCUUAAGGCUAUAAAUGAGGUGUUCCCUGAUUCCCCUCAGAGAUACUGCCUCAGGCACAUAUAUGCAAAUUUUCAGUCAGCUGGUUUCAGAGGAGCAGAACUAAAGAAGCUAGUAGAUCAGGCUAGCUACUCAUUCACCAAACAUGGCCAUGAAUUAGCAAUGGCAGAGCUUAAAGCAGAGUGUGAGGAUGCCUGGAAGUGGCUUAAAAAAUUCCAAAGGAGACUUGGUGUAGGUCUGCAAUGGAUUACAAUUGCAAAACUGAUCUAG